AGGGCUUGACAUCACCGUAAGGGACCUGGCCGUUUACGAAAGUAGGCGGUUUUAGGUAGACAGGUGUUGCAUGGCUGUCGUCAGCUCGUGUCGUGAGAUGUUGGGUUAAGUCCCGCAACGAGCGCAACCCUUGCCCCUAGUUACCAGCGGAUUAUGCCGGGGACUCUAGGGGGACUGCCGGUUUCAAGCUGGAGGAAGGUGGGGACGACGUCAAGUCAUCAUGGCCCUUAUGUCCUGGGCGACACACGUGCUACAAUGGCCGACACAGAGGGCUGCAAAGUCGAAAGGCGAAGCCAAUCCCUUAAAGUCGGUCUCAGUUCGGAUUGGGGGCUGCAACUCGCCCCCAUGAAGU
rnacentral:rRNA from 1 species